GGGUUAGUAGGUUGGUCAUGCCUCUGGUAUGUACUGAUCUCACUGAUUCCUCCCUCUUGACGAACUGUAAUGUCAUUAAUUUGGUGUUGCAGGAAAUCAGGACUGUUACUUUGAAAAAAUUAGAGUGUUUAAAGCAGGCUAAGGCUUGAAUACAUUAKCAUGGAAUAAUGAAAUAGGACGUUUGAUCCUAUUUUGUU
rnacentral:rRNA from 1 species